AGUGAACGCUGGCGGUAGGCCUAACACAUGCAAGUCGAACGGCAGCACAGUAAGAGCUUGCUCUUACGGGUGGCGAGUGGCGGACGGGUAAGGAAUACAUCGGAAUCUACUUUUUCGUGGGGGAUAACGUAGGGAAACUUACGCUAAUACCGCAUACGACCUACGGGUGAAAGCAGGGGAUCUUCGGACCUUGCGCGAUUGAAUGAGCCGAUGUCGGAUUAGCUAGUUGGCGGGGUAAAGGCCCACCAAGGCGACGAUCCGUAGCUGGUCUGAGAGGAUGAUCAGCCAUACUGGAACUGAGACACGGUCCAGACUCCUACGGGAGGCAGCAGUGGGGAAUAUUGGACAAAGGGCGCAAGCCUGAUCCAGCCAUACCGCGUGGGUGAAGAAGGCCUUCGGGUUGUAAAGCCCUUUUGUUGGGAAAGAAAAGCAGCAGGUUAAUACCCCGCUGUUCUGACGGUACCCAAAGAAUAAGCACCGGCUAACUUCGUG
rnacentral:rRNA from 1 species